CAGCAGCCGCGGUAAUACGUAGGUGGCAAGCGUUGUCCGGAAUUAUUGGGCGCAAAGGGCUCGCAGGCGGUUUCUUAAGUCUGAUGUGAAAGCCCCCGGCUCAACCGGGGAGGGUCACUGGAAACUGGGAAACUUGAGUGCAGAAGAGGAGAGUGGAAUUCCACGUGUAGCGGUGAAAUGCGUAGAGAUGUGGAGGAACACCAGUGGCGAAGGCGACUCUCUGGUCUGUAACUGACGCUGAGGAGCGAAAGCGUGGGGAGCGAACAGGAUUAGAUACCCCAGUAGUCCCUGUCUCUUAUAC
rnacentral:rRNA from 1 species